rnacentral:tRNA from 1 species
GGGUUGCUAGCUCAGUCGGUAGAGCAGUUGACUUUUAAUCAAUUGGUCACAGGUUCGAUUCCUGUGCAACCCACCA